rnacentral:lncRNA from 1 species
UAAAAACGGGACUAGCUAACAGUCGUGGGUCGUGGGUCGUGGGUAGAAUGUCGUGGGUCGUGGGUAAAAAGGCGUGGGUCGUGGGUAAAAAGGCGUGGGUCGUGGGUAAAAAGGCGUGGGUCGUGGGUAAAAAGGCGUGGGUCCCUGAAAAAAUUUCCGUAUAUCGUAGUCCCAUUUAGGGUUGUUGAUAUCAGGGCCGCCGAGAACUUGGCGGGGGCCCGGGACAAAGGUUUUUCAGGGGCCCCUAUUUCAAACUUUUUUCGGAAAACAACAUUUUUGGAAAAAAAUUU